rnacentral:rRNA from 1 species
ACGGGUGAGUAACACGUGAGUAACCUGCCCCUGACUCUGGGAUAAGCGUUGGAAACGACGUCUAAUACUGGAUAUGAUCACUGGUCGCAUGGCCUGGUGGUGGAAAGAUUUUUUGGUUGGGGAUGGACUCGCGGCCUAUCAGCUUGUUGGUGAGGUAAUGGCUCACCAAGGCGACGACGGGUAGCCGGCCUGAGAGGGUGACCGGCCACACUGGGACUGAGACACGGCCCAGACUCCUACGGGAGGCAGCAGUGGGGAAUAUUGCACAAUGGGCGAAAGCCUGAUGCAGCAACGCCGCGUGAGGGAUGACGGCCUUCGGGUUGUAAACCUCUUUUAGUAGGGAAGAAGGGAGCUUCGGUUCUUGACGGUACCUGCAGAAAAAGCACCGGCUAACUACGUGCCAGCAGCCGCGGUAAUACGUAGGGUGCAAGCGUUGUCCGGAAUUAUUGGGCGUAAAGAGCUCGUAGGCGGUUUGUCGCGUCUGCUGUGAAAUCCCGAGGCUCAACCUCGGGCUUGCAGUGGGUACGGGCAGACUAGAGUGCGGUAGGGGAGAUUGGAAUUCCUGGUGUAGCGGUGGAAUG